rnacentral:rRNA from 1 species
GUUAGGAAUAUUGGACAAUGGGCGCAAGCCUGAUCCAGCCAUGCCGCGUGAGUGAUGAAGGCCUUCGGGUUGUAAAGCUCUUUAGUCCACGAAUAUAAUGACUGUAGUGGAAGAAUAAGCCCCGGCUAACUUCGUGCCAGCAGCCGCGGUAAUACGAAGGGGGCGAGCGUUAUUCGGAAUCACUGGGCGUAAAGCGUGCGUAGGCGGCUUUGCAAGUUGGGAGUGAAAGCCCAGGGCUCAACCCUGGAAUUGCUCUCAAAACUGCAAGGCUCGAAUUCGGGAGAGGAUAGCGGAAUUGUCAGUGUAGCAGUGAAAUGCGUAGAUAUUGACAGGAACACCAGUGGCGUAAGCGGCUAUCUGGACCGAUAUUGACGCUGAGGCACGAAAGCGUGGGGAUCAAACAGGAUUAGAAACCCUAGUAGUCC